UAGAAACACCAACGAUAUCUCAGGAGACAGAUAGAACAACCGACUUGGUGACAGGUUAUACUGGUGUCUUGAAUUGUGACACAGUCUCAGGUACCGCAUCAUGGUAUCUCGGCGACGUACUGCUGUCGGCCACUUCCCCGAGUAUACACAUAAACAAAGCUGGAGUUUACAAAUGUCAAGCCCUAUCAAACACCGUGAGCUUACACUCGGAUAAUAGUUCUGCGUUAACCAUCACUGCUGUUGAAGGAAACACAUAUUCAAAGAAACAGACACUGAAAAUAGAACCUGAAGGCACAACAAUUUACCCUGGAAGAAAUGUAGUUCUUACUUGCUCUGAUGCACCAAUGGGUUUUGCUGGGA